rnacentral:rRNA from 1 species
CCUACGGGGGGCAGCAGUGGGGGAUAUUGCACAAUGGGGGGAACACUGAUGCAGCGACGCCGCGUGAGGGAUGAAGGAUUUCGGUAUGUAAAGCUCUAUCAGCAGGGAAGAAAAUGACGGUACCUGACUAAGAAGCCCCGGAUAACAACGGGCAAGAUGCCGCGGUAAUACGUAGGGGGCAGGGGUUAUCCGGAUUUACUGGGUGUAAAGGGGGCGUAGACGGCAGUGCAAGUCUGAAGUGAAAGGCAAGGGCUCAACCUUUGGACUGCUUUUGAAACUGUGCUGCUGGAGUGUCGGAGAGGCAAGUGGAAUUCCUAGUGUAGCGGUGAAAUGCGUAGAUAUUAGGCGGAACACCAGUGGCGAAGGCGGCUUGCUGGACGAUGACUGACGUUGAGGCUCGAAAGCGUGGGGAGCAAACAGGAUUAGAUACCCGAGUAGUC